rnacentral:rRNA from 1 species
UGGGGAAUAUUGGACAAUGGGGGGAACCCUGAUCCAGCCAUGCCGCGUGUGUGAAGAAGGCCUUAUGGUUGUAAAGCACUUUAAGCGAGGAGGAGGGUACUGGUAUUAAUACUACCAGGUACUGGACGUUACUCGCAGAAUAAGCACCGGCUAACUCUGUGCCAGCAGCCGCGGUAAUACAGAGGGUGCGAGCGUUAAUCGGAUUUACUGGGCGUAAAGCGUGCGUAGGCGGCUAAUUGAGUCGGAUGUGAAAUCCCCGAGCUUAACAUGGGAAUUGCAUUCGAUACUGGUUAGCUAGAGUGUGGGAGAGGAUGGUAGAAUUCCAGGUGUAGCGGUGAAAUGCGUAGAGAUCUGGAGGAAUACCGAUGGCGAAGGCAGCCAUCUGGCCUAACUCUGACGCUGAGGUACGAAAGAAUGGGGAGCAAACAGG